CCUACGGGAGGCAGCAGUGGGGAAUAUUGCACAAUGGGCGAAAGCCUGAUGCAGCGACGCCGCGUGAGGGAUGACGGCCUUCGGGUUGUAAACCUCUUUCAGCAGGGACGAAGUGCAAGUGACGGUACCUGCAGAAGAAGCACCGGCUAACUACGUGCCAGCAGCCGCGGUAAU
rnacentral:rRNA from 1 species